rnacentral:rRNA from 1 species
AACCGGAUUAGAUACCCUGGUAGUCCACGCCGUAAACGAUGAUAACUAGCUGUCGGGGCUCUUAGAGCUUCGGUGGCGCAGCUAACGCAUUAAGUUAUCCGCCUGGGGAGUACGGCCGCAAGGUUAAAACUCAAAUGAAUUGACGGGGGCCUGCACAAGCGGUGGAGCAUGUGGUUUAAUACGAAGCAACGCGCAGAACCUUACCAGCGUUUGACAUGUCCGGACGAUUUCGGGAGACCGAUCUCUUCCCUUCGGGGACUGGAACACAGGUGCUGCAUGGCUGUCGUCAGCUCGUGUCGUGAGAUGUUGGGUUAAGUCCCGCAACGAGCGCAACCCUCGCCUUUAGUUACCAUCAUUCAGUUGGGGACUCUAAAGGAACCGCCGGUGAUAAGCCGGAGGAAGGUGGGGAUGACGUUAAGUCCUCAUGGCCCUUACGCGCUGGGCUACACACGUGCUACAAUGGCGGUGACAGUGGGCAGCAAUCCCGCAAGGGUGAGCUAAUCUCCAAAAACCGUCUCAGUUCGGAUUGUUCUCUGCAACUCGAGAGCAUGAAGGCGGAAUCGCUAGUAAUCGCGGAUCAGCAUGCCGCGGUGAAUACGUUCCCAGGCCUUGUACGCACCGCCCGUCACACCAUGGGAGUUGGAUUCACCCGAAGGCAGUGCGCUAACCGCAAGGAGGCAGCUGACCACGGUGGGUUCAGCGACUGGGGUGAAGUCGUAACAAGGUAACCGUA